CGCAACCCUUGUCCUUAGUUACCAGCACGUUAUGGUGGGCACUCUAAGGAGACUGCCGGUGACGAAACCGGAGGAAGGUGGGGAUGACGUCAAGUCAUCAUGGCCCUUACGGCCUGGGCUACACACGUGCUACAAUGGUCGGUACAAAGGGUUGCCAAGCCGCGAGGUGGAGCUAAUCCCAAUAAAACCGAUCGUAGUCCGGAUCGCAGUCUGCAACUCGACUGCGUGAAGUCGGAAUCGCUAGUAAUCGUGAAUCAGAAUGUCACGGUGAAUACGUUCCCGGGCCUU
rnacentral:rRNA from 1 species